GGGGUUGUAGUUAAAUUAACAUUUAAUUUGCAAUUAAAAAAUACCUUUAGGUCUACCUCA
rnacentral:tRNA from 1 species